ACGCGCGCCCACCCGUUAGCCUCAGCGCGGAUCCUCACCGGCGCGCGCCCAUUGCAGCAGCAGCCGCUCAACCGCCCUCACCUCGCUGCCGCGGCAGGCCAGGGAUCGGAGUAACAACGCCCGCGCCUGCCACGUAAGCUUGGCGACCACACAUAGCAGCUCUCCAUUGUUUAGUGCAGCUGCCUGGCUAACCAUACCAGCUACAUGCUCCAAAUGCACUCUGUCUUGGAAUAGACAAGAGAUAUUGGAUCCCCUGGGCCUGUGGGGAGAAGAGGCUAUGGAGGCACAGCUCAGAACCCACUGUACAAAUGUCAACAUCUGCAAGCAGAUUGCAUGGGGGAUGCAGGAGAAGAGCUACAACUAGGACCUGCAGCAGUGCCAUGUGAAAGCCAAGGAGCUGUGGUAAGAAUAUCCUAAGGCCAGAGAGGCCAACAAUCAAUCUAGUGCUGAGCCACAGACCUGCUGCUUUUACAAUGAUCUGCAUGCCAUAUUCGGUGGAUACUCCACCAGAACCUCACAUACCACAAGCGAUACCUCUGAGGAGCCCAAGUCACAGGCCCCUGGCAUGAACAGAGCACAGGAGGAGGUGGAUCAGGGAAAGGUGACUGAAGGAGCCAGGAACUGUUUUUGACUCCAACACAGUCCAGUCAGACAAGCACAUGUUAGGGGAAGAGGCCUCGGCUGCAGCCAUUGUGGCCUUGAGGGUCUCCCCGUCUGCACCUGCAGAACGCCCAAUCCAGAUAAGGCAGAGAAAGAAGAGGACUCGGAAAGACGAAGAUUUCUAACCAUCAGAGGAGUGAAGUUUUGGAAUAGCCUUCCAAGGGAAGCAGUGGGGGCAAAAGACCUAUCUGGCUUUAAGA